rnacentral:tRNA from 1 species
UGCCUCAUGGUGUAAUGGUUAGCACAGAGGACUCUAAAUCCUUUGGUCUCUGUUCGAGCCAGAGUGGGGCGA